rnacentral:rRNA from 3 species
GUCCUAUUGUAUUAUUUAAUAGGUCUGGCCUGCCCAGUGAUAAUUUCAACGGCCGCGGUAUAUUGACCGUGCAAAGGUAGCAUAAUCAUUAGUCUUUUAAUAGGAGGCUGGAAUGAAAGGUUUAACGAGAAAUUGACUGUCUCAAUUGCAAUCUUGAAUUUAUCUUUUGAGUCAAAAGACUUAAAUAUAAUUGGUGGACGAGAAGACCCUAUAGAGCUUGACAAUUAUUUUUUUAUAUUUACUUAGACUGAAAUUAUUUAUUUAUAUUAAAAAAAUUGUUUUGUUGGGGUGACAAUAAAUAUAUAUUUAACUUUUAUCAUAGUAUUAACAUUAAUUUAUGACUUUUGGAUCCAAAAAUUUUGAUCAUUAGACUAAGUUACC